rnacentral:rRNA from 1 species
UACAGAGGGUGCAAGCGUUGCUCGGAAUCAUUGGGCGUAAAGGGUAGGUAGGUGGUCUCGUUUGUCUGGGGUGAAAGCCCAGGGCUUAACCCUGGAAGUGCCCUAGAAACGGCGAGACUAGAGUAUUGGAGAGGGUCGUGGAAUUCCCGGUGUAGCGGUGAAAUGCGUAGAGAUCGGGAGGAACACCAGAGGCGAAGGCGGCGACCUGGACAAUUACUGACACUCAACUACGAAAGCGUGGGGAGCAAACAGG